rnacentral:rRNA from 1 species
UGGGGAAUAUUGGACAAUGGGCGAAAGCCUGAUCCAGCCAUGCCGCGUGUGUGAAGAAAGUCUUCGGAUUGUAAAGCACUUUAAGUUGGGAGGAAGGGCAGUAAGCGAAUACCUUGCUGUUUUGACGUUACCGACAGAAUAAGCACCGGCUAACUCUGUGCCAGCAGCCGCGGUAAUACAGAGGGUGCGAGCGUUAAUCGGAUUUACUGGGCGUAAAGCGUGCGUAGGCGGCUAAUUGAGUCGGAUGUGAAAUCCCCGAGCUUAACUUGGGAAUUGCAUUCGAUACUGGUUAGCUAGAGUGUGGGAGAGGAUGGUAGAAUUCCAGGUGUAGCGGUGAAAUGCGUAGAGAUCUGGAGGAAUACCGAUGGCGAAGGCAGCCAUCUGGCCUAACACUGACGCUGAGGUACGAAAGCAUGGGGAGCAAACAGG